rfam:Oesophagostomum dentatum strain OD-Hann O_dentatum-1.0_Cont738835.1, whole genome shotgun sequence.
CCAACGGCCCUCUUUAGGGCCACAUUUCUAUCCUCGAGCACUUAUG